CCCUUAGAUGUUCUGGGCCGCACGCGUGCUACACUGAGUGGAUCAGCGGGUCAGGUUGCGCGAAAGUGUUUCCUAAUCUUUAAAUCCGCUCGUGAUGGGGAUUGACGGUUGCAAUUUUCCGUCAUGAACGAGGAAUACCUUGUAAGCGCGGGUCAUCAUCCCGCGCUGAAUACGUCCCUGCCCUUUGUACACACCGCCCGUCGCUCCUACCGAUUGAGUGGUCCGGUGAGGCUUUGGGAUCUGAGCGGAAAGAGCGUUUCGCUGUUUCUGUCCGGAAAACUCAGUCGAACCUUAUCAUUUAGAGGAAGGAGAAGUCGUAACA
rnacentral:rRNA from 1 species